rnacentral:tRNA from 1 species
ACCUGGGUGGCUUAGUCAUUGGGCAUCUGACUUCAGCUCAGGUCAUGAUCUCCCCAUUCGUGGGUUUGAGCCCCACUUCAGGCU